AACGCGAAGAACCUUACCUGGGCUCGAAGCGCAGUGGACCGGGGUAGAAAUAUCCCUUUUCGCAAGAACUGCUGCGGAGGUGCUGCAUGGCUGUCGUCAGCUCGUGUCGUGAGAUGUUGGGUUAAGUCCCGCAACGAGCGCAACCCUUAUCGUUAGUUGCCAGCGAGUCAAGUCGGGCACUCUAGCGAAACCGCCCCGGAUAACGGGGAGGAAGGUGGGGAUGACGUCAAGUCCUCAUGGCCUUUAUGUCCAGGGCUACACACGUGCUACAAUGGUCGGUACAAACCGUCGCAAACCUGCGAAGGGGAGCUAAUCGGAAAAAGCCGGCCUCAGUUCGGAUUGGAGUCUGCAACCCGACUCCAUGAAGCUGGAAUCGCUAGUAAUCGCGGAUCAGCACGCCGCGGUGAAUACGUUCCCGGGCCUUGUA
rnacentral:rRNA from 1 species